rnacentral:rRNA from 1 species
AGAGUUUGAUCCUGGCUCAGAUUGAACGCUGGCGGCAGGCUUAACACAUGCAAGUCGAGCGGGGAAGUAUAGCUUGCUAUACGACCUAGCGGCGGACGGGUGAGUAAUGCUUAGGAAUCUGCCUAUUAGUGGGGGACAACAUUCCGAAAGGAAUGCUAAUACCGCAUACGCCCUACGGGGGAAAGCAGGGGAUCUUCGGACCUUGCGCUAAUAGAUGAGCCUAAGUCAGAUUAGCUAGUUGGUGGGGUAAAGGCCUACCAAGGCGACGAUCUGUAGCGGGUCUGAGAGGAUGAUCCGCCACACUGGGACUGAGACACGGCCCAGACUCCUACGGGAGGCAGCAGUGGGGAAUAUUGGACAAUGGGCGAAAGCCUGAUCCAGCCAUGCCGCGUGUGUGAAGAAGGCCUUUUGGUUGUAAAGCACUUUAAGCGAGGAGGAGGCUACUUGGAUUAAUACUCUAGGAUAGUGGACGUUACUCGCAGAAUAAGCACCGGCUAACUCUGUGCCAGCAGCCGCGGUAAUA